CAGAGUAUGAGACAAGAAUCAUCACCUACACUACAAAACUCUUGUGCACUGCAAUCCAAAACAACAACAAAAAUGACUUAUAUCAGAUAAUGAUCAGAUAAAACCAUUAUAAUAACUUAAAACAAUAUAGGUAAAAAGAGUCCAAAAGUAAUUCAUUAGGAUUUUACUGACCCCAAAAAAUAGAUACACAUAAACUACCACAAGCAUGACUAAUACAAGAAACAGCUACUUGAAGGGCAAAAUUGCACAUCUUCAACAGUAUCUUUAUGACCACGGUAGAUGCCCUUGUCCAACAGGGGCUUUCUGCAGUUUCUCACCACUUCCACAACAUUAGAGCCCUGUUUAACAUCAGGUCCUGCUUCAGUAGCUAAAGUUGCAAUGUGAUCAUGAAUACUCCAUAACACCACAUGUUUGUCCCUGC
rnacentral:lncRNA from 1 species